rnacentral:rRNA from 1 species
GACGAACGCUGGCGGCGUGCUUAACACAUGCAAGUCGAACGGAAAGGCCCUGCUUUUGUGGGGUGCUCGAGUGGCGAACGGGUGAGUAACACGUGAGUAACCUGCCCUUGACUUUGGGAUAACUUCAGGAAACUGGGGCUAAUACCGGAUAGGAGCUCCUGCUGCAUGGUGGGGGUUGGAAAGUUUCGGCGGUUGGGGAUGGGCUCGAGGCUUAUCAGCUUGUUGGUGGGGUAGUGGCUUACCAAGGAUUUGACGGGUAGCCGGCCUGAGAGGGUGACCGGCCACAUUGGGACUGAGAUACGGCCCAGACUCCUACGGGAGGCAGCAGUGGGGAAUAUUGCACAAUGGGCGGAAGCCUGAUGCAGAAACGCCGCGUGCGGGAUGACGGCCUUCGGGUUGUAAACCGCUUUCGCCUGUGACGAAGCGUGAGUGACGGUAAUGGGUAAAGAAGCACCGGCUAACUACGU